UCCUACGGGAGGCAGCAGUGGGGAAUAUUGCACAAUGGGCGAAAGCCUGAUGCAGCGACGCCGCUUGAGGGAUGACGGCCUUCGGGUUGUAAACCUCUUUCCGUAGGGAAGAAGCGAAAGUGACGGUACCUGCAGAAGAAGCACCGGCUAACUACGUGCCAGCAGCCGCGGUAAUACGUAGGGUGCGAGCGUUAUCCGGAAUUAUUGGGCGUAAAGAGCUCGUAGGCGGUUUGUCGCGUCUGUCGUGAAAGUCCGGGGCUUAACCCCGGAUCUGCGGUGGGUACGGGCAGACUAGAGUGCAGUAGGGGAGACUGGAAUUCCUGGUGUAGCGGUGGAAUGCGCAGAUAUCAGGAGGAACACCGAUGGCGAAGGCAGGUCUCUGGGCUGUAACUGACGCUGAGGAGCGAAAGCAUGGGGAGCGAACAGGAUUAGAUACCCUGGUAGUCCAUGCCGUAAACGUUGGGCACUAGGUGUGGGGACCAUUCCACGGUUUCCGCGCCGCAGCUAACGCAUUAAGUGCCCCGCCUGGGGAGUACGGCCGCAAGGCUAAAACUCAAAGGAAUUGACGGGGGCCCGCACAAGCGGCGGAGCAUGCGGAUUAAUUCGAUGCAACGCGAAGAACCUUACCAAGGCUUGACAUGUUCUCGAUCGCCGUAGAGAUACGGUUUCCCCUUUGGGGCGGGUUCACAGGUGGUGCAUGGUUGUCGUCAGCUCGUGUCGUGAGAUGUUGGGUUAAGUCCCGCAACGAGCGCAACCCUCGUUCCAUGUUGCCAGCACGUAGUGGUGGGGACUCAUGGGAGACUGCCGGGGUCAACUCGGAGGAAGGUGAGGACGACGUCAAAUCAUCAUGCCCCUUAUGUCUUGGGCUUCACGCAUGCUACAAUGGCCGGUACAAUGGGUUGCGAUACUGUGAGGUGGAGCUAAUCCCAAAAAGCCGGUCUCAGUUCGGAUUGGGGUCUGCAACUCGACCCCAUGAAGUCGGAGUCGCUAGUAAUCGCAGAUCAGCAACGCUGCGGUGAAUACGUUCCCGGGCCUUGUACACACCGCCCGUCAAGUCACGAAAGUUGGUAACACCCGAAGCCGGUGGCCUAACCC
rnacentral:rRNA from 1 species